rnacentral:tRNA from 1 species
CCUGGUGGCUCAGAUGUUAAAGCGUCUGCCUGCAAUGCGGGAGACCUGGGUUCGAACCCUGGGUCAGGA